CAUUGCACUCAUCUCGGUCUGA
rnacentral:miRNA from 2 species